UUAAGUAGAAAAAGUUUGAGACUGUGUUGGAUGUACUCUUGAUUUUUUAUGGGUAAAUUUUAAUGGAAUAAAUUGGGAACCUGUCCCAUAUAUUGGCAUUUUAGAAUCAGCUUUUAGAGAAAUGGAUCAGCUGAAGAUAGGAAUAAAUGCCAGAGGAUGUUGUGUACUGCCCUCGUGGCUUUGUUUAUUCUAGGAAAAUUGUAUGUAGCAAAUGCAUGUGCGAUACGUGUGAAAAGAAUAUAUUUGAAGAGAAUAUCUGGCGCUACCGGAAUCUGGAGAUUUAGGAAAGACUGAGAUGUUUACGGAUGAGGCGUAUGCAGUAAGAUUAUCUGAAUAUAUCUGCGAUUACUGGGCAAGGAAAGAAGAUGGUGUAACAAGAAGAUUUGGUGAUGAUAGUUUACUUGUUGAGUUGGUACAAACACUGGCAAAACCUCGAAGUAGAAUGAAGACAGAUAGGGGAAUUCAAGACAACUUUUUAGAGCAGCAUUAAGUAGAAAAAAAACCUUUAAGUAGAAAAAAGUUUGAGACUGUGUUGGAUAUACUCUUGAUUUUUUAUGGGUAGAUUUUAAUGGAAUAAAUUGGGAAACUGUCCCAAAUAUUGGUAUUUUAGAGUCAGCUUUUAGAGAAAUGGCACACAUCAGGAUCAGUCGAAGAUAUGAAUAAAUGCCAGAGGAUGUUGUGUACUGCACUCGUGGCUUUGUUUAUUCUAGGAAAACUGCAUAGAAAAUGCCCAAGUAACAAGUAAAAUCCUUUUUCUGUUCUAUCUUCCCAGAUAUUUUCGCCAGAUCUUUGAAUAAAGAGAAUUUAGUUGGAUUCUGAUAAUCUCAGCACUUUGUUCUUCAUCUAAUGAAAAAAAAGUCAGAAAUACCCCGGAAAAAUUCAAAGUUUCCAUGGAAAAACCGAAAGAGUUUUGUCAGAAAUACUCCGGAAAAAGCGAAGGAAUCUCAUCAGAAACGAUUGAUCAGCACUUGGAAGAGGUUUUGGAACGUCCGGGACCCUCUCGAAUUCGAACCAUCUCCGGAUUUUCUCUACUUCAUCCUGUCCAUUUACAGCGCAUUUACAGGGACCCGUGCGUUUGCCAGCUGUUCAAAUACCUGGCAAUGAUGUGUUUCAAGCUGAUCGAUAUGGAUAUCAUCGAUUUGUCGCAUUUAAAUCGACAAUUUCAGUUCAGGCACAAAGAUAUCGGUGUGUUUAAAGCACAGAUAGCAGCAAACUAUAUCAAUGCCAGGAUAGCGGGAUACCAAGAAACAUGACCUCGUUAUCCGAUGGAAGAUUUAAACGAAUUGUGUGGAUUCUCUGUGAUUCUAGCAGAUAUGACAGCCUGUGUUGGAAGUACUCUUGAUUUGUAUCCUCCCAGUCACAUUGCAAAUAUAAAGUUGUACAGUGGCCAAAAGAGAAAACUCUUUCCGUGUUGCUCUUGAUGGCGAUGAUGCACUUGGAUCUAUGAAGAAGCAUUAAAAAGAGUCAGUCAGUUCAAUAUACACAGUGUUACGUUUAGAUUAGUACAGGGUGUGAUAAAAAAAUAUUAUUCCAGUAGUGGCGUCUACAAAUGCUGUUCUAGGAAAAAUUAGAUGACGCACAAGACAUUUUAUGGGUAAUAAAUAAUGUAUUCAGCUUUUAUGGUAAAUAAAUGGGUAUUCAGCUUUUAGAGAAAUGGAUCAGCUGAAGAUAGGAAUAAAUGCCAGAGGAUGUUGUGUACUACACUGGUGGCUUCGUUUAUUCUAGAAAAACUGUACGUAGCAAAUGCAUGUGCGACACAUGCUAGAAGAAUAUAAUUGAAGAGAAUAUCUGGUGCUAUCAAAAUCCAGAGAUUUAGGGAAGACAGAGACAUUUAAGGAGGGACGUAUGCAGGCAAAAUUAUCUGAAUAUAUUUACGAUUACUGGACAAGGAAAGAGGAGUUGGUACAAACAGUGGCAAAACAUUGAAAGUGGAAUGAAGACAGAUAGGAAGGACUUUGGGGAAUUCAAGACCGCUUUUUGGAACAGCAUUAAGCA
rnacentral:lncRNA from 1 species